rnacentral:rRNA from 1 species
AUUAAACUAAAGAGUUUGAUCCUGGCUCAGAUUGAACGCUGGCGGCAUGCCUUACACAUGCAAGUCGAACGGCAGCAUGGAGAGCUUGCUCUCUGAUGGCGAGUGGCGAACGGGUGAGUAAAGCAUCGGAACGUACCGUGUAAUGGGGGAUAACGUAGCGAAAGUUACGCUAAUACCGCAUACGACCUGAGGGUGAAAGCAGGGGAUCGCAAGACCUU